CGGUCAGCCGAAUGGAACCUAUUGAAGAAAAAAGAGAGAGAAUGAGAAAAGAGGAAAAUGACAGUGAAAUGAUGAUGGAUGAGAAUGAAAGAAAUGGAAAUACCCCUGUGCAGGAAGUACCAGAGCUUAGACGUUCCACAAGAAUAAGAGAGCAACCUGUUCGCCUAACUUACCCCUCAUUAGGAAACCCCUUAGCAUUAGUUAUGCAAUCCCUGUUAAGUGGUUUAAGCAAAGCUUUCACACAAGCCCUUGAGUCAGAUGAUUUCCCUGAGGUUAGAUUGCUAACUCCUGAUAGAUCAGUGGUUUUAUAGGUACAUGCAGAGACGCAUGCAAGUUCAGGAGGGGAGGAUGUAACCCCCUUGAGUUAUACUUGAGUUGUUUAAAACAAUUGUAUUAACUUUUCUUUUGUAUACCACAAAGCAAUGUUUCUAUGUUUGCUGCAAUACUACACCUAACCGCUAGGGGGCAGUAAACAAUGCAAUAUGUGAGUGAGAUAUUCAGUGUAAGAUUCAGAUGAAGAAGCCAGCUCAACAUGCUUACACGAGGCUGGCAGUUGAUGUUGCAUCUCAUCUCUGAAACAGUCAAUGCUUCAUUGUGAGUGCUUUUGUUUUUGAGAACUCUGAUUGGUUUUUUUGAAUGUCGAUUCUGUUGAUCCACGGUUGAACGGCGAGCCAGUGCCUGAUCUUUGAUUCAAAGAGCCAUCGCGAUUCCAUGCGGAUCUGUUGAACUUGAGAUAAGCACACAAACACUACCCGGGUAGAAAAAGUAACACAAAAAGGCCUUUACACAUCCACAUUUGAACAUUACACCCAUACACACACACAUAAAGGAGGACUAUUGAGACUUUACUCUGGACAAUUUUUGGGUUCAAUAUCAAGUUUUGUUCUUUGUGUUGAGUAUGAAUCCAUUGUGAAUUGAGACCAUUGUGAUUUCAUUUACAUUGUGGGAAUUGUUCAUUUAAAAUUUUGUAUCUGUAAUAAAAUUGCCGGCUGUUAAUUAAUUGAA